ensembl:lncRNA PCBP1-AS1 PCBP1 antisense RNA 1
GAACACAAAAUGGCGACACGUGGUUAGCAUUCGUCGCCAACGAGAAAUUGGGGUCGGCCCGAAAGCUCUAGAAUGCACCCCUCUUCCUCCCCGGGGCCUUCCACCUCCGCGAGUUUUAUGACUUAAAAAAGCCCACAGGCUGGUCUGAAGAGGAAGACAAACAUAAAGAUGAAGUGCUUAAUUCAAGGUCACACAAUGUCGGGGAUGGACCUCCAGAUUUCCUUACUGGUGAGACGUGGUCUUGUAACACAGUGGUUAAGAAUGUGACUUUGGAGCCAGCCUGCUAGGGGCUGAAUUCUGACUCAGCCAUUUACUAACUGUGUGACCUUAGGUCACAGAAUUUUCCACACUCCUUGACAGAGGUGCUUAACCCUUAUCCAUCAGCAUUCUCAGACAGCACCUCCGGUUAGGGACAGUAUCUGACCGUCCGACAUCCCUGCAGCCCCCAUGUGUCACACAGACUCAGCCUCAGGUAGAUGGUUUCCGUAGAUGGUGGCUUUCUUUGGACCCUUGACAUCAACCAGUUACUAUUUGCUCCUGCAACCACCGCUGUACUUUCUGUCUCUAUGAACUUGACUACUCUAGACACCUCAUGUUCAAAUCUCUCAGACAGUCUUACUGGCUGGCUUGGAUCCUGGGCUGACAGCCCCACCAGUACCAUGAUGGAACUGGGGGAGAAGUAGUUCCCCCUCAGAAAAGUGAGGUGCUGUCCAGAAUAAGGGAAGCAGAAGUUGCUGGACAAGCAGAACUGUUGACCACCGCACAUGAGAAUCCCUCACCUUCCCACCUCCACACCAGUGCCCGCUUAGGCCCUCCAGGUCAGCCCUCAUUCACAGAACUGUGUAAUUACUGCUCCCCUACCCUCCCCCAUUCCUCAGAUUCCUCCACCAAUUUUAAUUUCAACACACCAUCUCCCUGCCUGCCACAUCCAGCCCAGCCCAGCUCAGCCUAGCUGGGCCCGAGCAGGAGGUGGCAGCUUUGCCCAAAAGGCUGCCCUGCUCUGAGGCCUCCUGCCUUCUGGUCCCUCCCUGAGAGUCCCAGGCCAAAUCCUCACCUGCUCUUCACAGAAUUCCCUAUGCCCUAGGGAACAGAACUCAGGCCAGUGCUGAAAUCCCCAUUUGCUUCUUCCUACUUCUGCCUUUUCAAAACCAGCUCUUCUUUUUACUUUGCUCUUGGCCAAAUCCUGCAAAAAUGUGUUCAUGGGGAGGCCACUAGAACUUGAGCAUCCAGUACAAGACGCUCCAAUGAGAAAAAGACAGAAAUACUCAGGGUUCCAGCCAGACAUGGUGGCUCACGCCUGGAAUCCCAGCACUUUGGGAGGCCAUGGUGGGCGGAUUGCCUGAGCUCGGAAGUUCAAGACCGACCUGGCCAACAUGGUGAAACCC